rfam:Pochonia chlamydosporia 170 chromosome 4, whole genome shotgun sequence.
GUCCGCAUAGUGUAGCGGUUAUCAUGUUUGCUUUACAUAAUCAUCUAAUUUGGAACGCAAAAGGUCCCAGGUUCGAACCCUGGUGCGGACA